UACGUAGGGGGCAAGCGUUAUCCGGAUUUACUGGGUGUAAAGGGAGCGUAGACGGCUGUGCAAGUCAGAAGUGAAAGCCCGGGGCUCAACCGCGGGACUGCUUUUGAAACUGUGUAGCUAGAAUGCAGGAGAGGUAAGUGGAAUUCCUAGUGUAGCGGUGAAAUGCGUAGAUAUUAGGAGGAACACCGGUGGCGAAGGCGGCUUACUGGACUGUAACUGACGUUGAGGCUCGAAAGCGUGGGGAGCAAACAGG
rnacentral:rRNA from 1 species